rnacentral:lncRNA from 1 species
ACGCUUCCCCGUUGGACACCUGCACCAUUUCUCUCUCUCUCUCUCUCUCUCAUACUCAUACACCCAUUGAGGGGAGAGGUUGGGGUGCAGAACACCGCACCAUACUCGCAUUCCCUGCCACAACCAGAAACAGAGGCCACGACACACUAACACAAAAACAAAGCAUUGCUAUUCGGUACGUGACAUACUCUGUUUCCUCUGACUCCGAGGUUUUCCUUCGCUUUGCUUCAGACCAAGCGGUCUCUGUGGCUACAAACUUGGAACCAUUUUUAUGUUUUGAGCCUUCGGUUCCCAUGCUCCUCGCUCCACCGCAUGUUGUAACUUGUAACCGCAAUUCCAUUUCUCUCACUCUUGAGUCACGCACCCUCCCACCCUUUUUUCCUCUCACGUGGUUAUUGUUCUGUGCAUGUUGGUGCUACUUGAUUGCUGAUUUUUGUAGAAACUUUCAUUGAUCGAUCUCUUCAUCGUCAUGACAGCUUCUGUUUCAAAUUCGUUGAUAACCCUUAACCC